UCGGAGAAGAGACCUGGCCAGGAUUUGGCAUUGAGGCAGUCUGGGCCUGGUGUUGGUGGUGACCAGAAAUGAUAUCAUCAGGAGCUGGCAGAGGAAAGCAGACCUACCAAAAUCAAGGUGCCAAAGGGAAGGUUCAGGUUCAAAGCCAAGCAGAGCAGACAUCCUCAGGCACUCCAACACCCCCUCCUAACUCGAUUCCUGUGGCUUCGGAGGACAUCAACCUCUCUUGGUUUUCUUCUGUGUCUAGAAUGUUCCUUCUCUGUCUCCCAAGCAGACAAUCUCCCUUUCGCAAUGCUUUCACCCCCACUGCUGGUUCCCAAGUUUUCCACUUUCUGCCCACCACCCUCUUCUCCUCUUCUUGCCCUCCCCAGACAAUCCCAUCUACCUACAUUUUUUUUAUUGUAGUAAAAUAUACCCAACAUAAAAUUUUAACCAUUUUUAGGUGUACAGUUCUGUGGCAUUAAGUACUUUCACGUUGUUGUGCAACCACUGCCACUAUCCGUCUGCAGAACUUUUUCAUCUUCCCAAACUGAAUCGCAGUCCCCGUUAGAUAAUAUCCCCACCUUCCCUCUUCCUUCCAUCCACCUACAUGUAUAAAGUGUUUACUCUGUGUCGGACACUGUUCUAAGCGCUUUACGUGGACGAACUAAGUUACUUCUCUUAACAAUCCUAAGAGGCAGUGCUGCUAUUCCUGUCUUACAGAUAAGAUGAAUACUGCUCCCUGACUGUUGUCAUAUGCUGUACCUCCGGUGAGAGGAGUGUAUGUCCCCACCUGGCUGACUUCAGACUUGUCCAUGUGACCUGCUUCGGCCAAUAGAAUGUGAGCAAAUGCACCGAGUGCCCUGUCUGUGCAGAAGUUUUAGAGUCAUCUCAUGGCUCUGCCAUUGCUCUCUUCCUUCUGCACGAGGCUGGGCUGAGACGGGGGUUCCACCAUUACCCUGGGUUCCAGAAUGAGAAAGACGUGGAGCAAAGCCAAAGCUAGCUCCCAAUUUUCAUCUAUGUCAGUUCACUGUUGUAAGCCACUGGGAUUUGGGGGUCAUUUGUCACUCCUGCACCACUUUGUGGAAACUGACCACUCCAGUGAUGACACUGGGAUUUGCAUCCCAGCAUUCUGGUACCAGACCAACAUUCCCCUACCCCUGAUGUGGGAGCUUAAAGUUACAUACUCUGCCGCCUACUGCCCUUUGCCACCUAAAUGGCUACAGGCACGUCAAACUCAAAAUAUCUGAAGGGGAAACCUCCAUUCCCCAGCUUAGGCUAGCUCCUCCGCCUGCAUUCUGAAUCAUCUAUUUUAGUUGGCGACACCACAACCUACCCGUUCACUCAUGCUAGAAACCUCAUUCACUCAUGCUAGAAACCUCAUUCACUCAUACUAGAAACCUGGGACACAUCCCUGAUACUACCUAGCUGCUUUGCAGAACCAGCCGGUUACCUGGUCCUGUUCAUUUCGCUUAACUCGUAGGUAUCUCUCACACCCACGCAUGCUUUGUCUUCCAACCACCAUUGCCCUUGCUCAGGCUGUCAACAUCUCACAGUUGAAUUAGAACCUCAAACAGCUCUCAAAGUCCAUCCCCUACAGCAAUCACACACACACAAAUUCAACCUUGUCACCCAAUUUAAAACCUAUCAAUGGCUUCCUAUCACCUACAACAUAAAGUUCGAAACCCUUUAUAUGCCUCCAGGUUCCCCAUGCUCUGGCCCUUGCCUAACUCUACAACCUCGUUACAACACCCCCUGCCACAAAACCCAGCAAUACCAAGCCACUGGCCCUUCCAUAUAUAGAUACCAUGUGAUUUCUUACCUACAUUCCCUUGCUCAUUCCCUUCUGUUUGGAAAGAUCUCCCAGACCUGGACCCGCCCCCCAAAGACUUAGGCAUUCUACUAGCACUUAAAGGGACAACUUGAAAGGCACACAGAGGAAGCUUUAAUGGGUCAGUAUGGCCCAGUUGUCAACGGGAGGCCCACGCCUGACAUCAGGCAGCAACAUUAUCCACUUUCUAAAGUCAAUAGAAGAAAAUCUCUUUCGAUAUGAGAAUUUUAAUUUCUCCAAUAAUAGUUAAUAAAUCCAUGGAGGAGGGUCUGAUAAUGAAAUUAAAGGUGCACGCACACAUCAGUCACGCUCUCUGGUUUCCUUUGAAGACUCCCUGACUCUUCCCACUCUUCAGUGUUGGCAUUUGACUGAACGGCGCUAGGUGAACUGUAGCUGGGACCAACUGCUCCUCAAGCUGGUAAAAAUCUUCUGCUUUUUCUCGGGAGCAAAGCUGUGCGAGGGAAGCAAGCCCACCCACUGGCGACUCCCUGAUGGGAACCGGUGACCGUGACCAGAGACGGAGGCUCAGUAGGAACCAAACAGCCAAGGAUUCUCCGACAGUAACUCUUCAGUCAUGGAUUUCUCCAUCCUUCAGAGAGCACUGAGGACAAGCAAGUAUGCGGCUGCCCUUUGGAGACAGGGAGAGAGAGGAAAGUAAGACGAAGUAUGCAGAGAACCCAUUUCCAAAUGAAAGGGCCUGGAAGGACUCCGGGCUUCAGAAGUCUACCCCCCUGCCUGGGCCAAACCCUGUGACGGAUGCAUUUCUAACAGCUCUUCUAUUCAAAAAGAAGAACCAGUGUCAGGCAGGAGGAAUCCACUCUUUCCUGUCUGGACCCCCAAAGUGCCACAGCUCCAAUAACCAAGAAAACCCACGGUGGAUGGCUUUCUUUCCUUCCAUUGAGUAGAAAUGUUUUCCACUGAGAGCUAUAUAUUCUUCAGCCAAGUAGAAGGGCCUGUGCCAGGUAAUCCCAUACAACUACCAACAUAGCAAUUGCAAGUGGUGUCCUCUCUUAGCCACCAUAGCAUUAGGCUCUCACCACGUUCCUUCUUUCACUGGUUGUGCCUUCUCAGUCCCAUUUGCUACAAACCAUGAAUAAACCUUCAAAAAGUA